CAUGCUCCUGGGAUCUUGGGAUCCUAUAAUCCUGUGAUCCUGGGUGUGUUAGAGCACCUGAGAUUUGAGCCUCCUCUGGGUGCUAUGGGACUGGCUGAGGAAUUCUUGCCCAAGUUAAACCGGUGCUGAUUGGAAGAAACCUGAGCCUCUGGGCUGGCCGUGUUCCUCUGUCCCUGUAUCCUGCUGGUCCCAGUUACUCCUGGUGGAGUUGGAACAGCUGUUGUGUUCUACUUACCCCUGACCCUAUGAUCCUGGGAAUGCUAGAGCACCUCGGAUUGGAGUCUUUUCUGGGUGCUGCGGGACUGGCUGCAGUGUUUGCACCCAAGUUUUCUCUCUUCUCAUAUAGAAGAUGGAUAGCUCUGAGAUUUAAAAAAGAAGGGUGAAAGUUGGAAUGAUUUUUCUCAUGAUAAAACUACAGAUAUUGCUAUGUUCCAAGAGUAUUUCAUUCACUUCUGGAUUCACGUUCGGC